UACGGAGGGGGCUAGCGUUGUUCGGAAUUACUGGGCGUAAAGCGCACGUAGGCGGCUUUGUAAGUUAGAGGUGAAAGCCCAGGGCUUAACCCUGGAAUUGCCUUUAAGACUGCAUCGCUAGAAUUGUGGAGAGGUAAGUGGAAUUCCGAGUGUAGAGGUGAAAUUCGUAGAUAUUCGCAAGAACACCAGUGGCGAAGGCGGCUCACUGGCCCAUUACUGACGCUGAGGCACGAAAGCGUGGGGAGCAAACAGG
rnacentral:rRNA from 1 species